GUACUGAUGAAGAGUCCCAAACUAAGACGAAACAGCUGUCCAGUAC
rfam:Trichobilharzia regenti genome assembly, scaffold: TRE_scaffold0005679